AGCUGGCUAGACGGCCGCUGCGCUGCCUCGCAGCGCGGAGGAAAGUCCGGGCUCCACAGGGCAGGGUGCCAGGUAACACCUGGGGGGCGUGAGCCCACGGAAAGUGCCACAGAGAACAGACCGCCGAUGGCCGGCAGGGCGCCGGCACAGGCAAGGGUGAAAAGGUGCGGUAAGAGCGCACCGCGCGACCGGUAACGGCUCGCGGCACGGCAAACCCCACCCGGAGCAAGGCCAAAUAGGGGAGCCAGGGCGUGGCCCGCGCCGCUCCCGGGUAGGCCGCUAGAGGCAUGCGGCGACGUAUGCCCCAGAGGAAUGGCCGUCCUCGACAGAACCCGGCUUACAGGCCGGCUCU
rnacentral:RNase_P_RNA from 1 species